rnacentral:rRNA from 1 species
AUUGAACGCUGGCGGAAUGCUUUACACAUGCAAGUCGAACGGCAGCACGGGUGCUUGCACCUGGUGGCGAGUGGCGAACGGGUGAGUAAUACAUCGGAACGUACCCAGUUGUGGGGGAUAACGAGUCGAAAGAUUCGCUAAUACCGCAUACGACCUGAGGGUGAAAGCGGGGGACCGUAAGGCCUCGCGCAAUUGGAGCGGCCGAUGUCUGAUUAGCUAGUUGGUGAGGUAAAGGCUCACCAAGGCGACGAUCAGUAGCUGGUCUGAGAGGAUGAUCAGCCACACUGGAACUGAGACACGGUCCAGACUCCUACGGGAGGCAGCAGUGGGGAAUUUUGGACAAUGGGGGAAACCCUGAUCCAGCCAUUCCGCGCGAGUGAAGAAGGCCUUCGGGUUGUAAAGCUCUUUCGGCAGGGAAGAAACGCUCUGGCUUAAUACGCCGGGGUAAUGACGGUACUUGAAGAAGAAGCACCGGCUAACUACGUGCCAGCCGCCGCAGUAA